rnacentral:lncRNA from 1 species
GAAGAAUCAGAAAACAUACCGUAUUUACGUGGACAAAUGUCUGUCACAGGAGCGUCAGAUCAGGAUUGCUGAAGGAGAGCUGAGAAUGAAACCACCAUUUAUACAGCACUCAGAAUGCUCCAGGCAGUGUAAUCUCAUUCCAUCUUCAUUCAUGACUCCAGACAGUGACUCUGAAAAUGAAGUAACAUCAUGAGAAGAGGA